GCGUUGUUGGUCCAGUGGUUAGGAUACCGCCUUCCCAGCGAUUGCAGCUAGAGGCGGGGGUCAAGGGUUCAAUCCCCUUACAACGCA